rnacentral:rRNA from 1 species
GGAUCCAGACUUUGAUUCUGGCUCAGGACGAGCGCUGGCGGCGUGCCUAAUACAUGCAAGUCGAACGAAGCUUUCUUUCACCGAAUGCUUGCAUUCACCGAAAGAAGCUUAGUGGCGAACGGGUGAGUAACACGUAGGCAACCUGCCCAAAAGAGGGGGAUAACACUUGGAAACAGGUGCUAGUACCGCAUAACCAUGAACACCGCAUGAUGUUCAUGUAAAAGACGGCUUUUGCUGUCACUUUUGGAUGGGCCUGCGGCGUAUUAACUUGUUGGUGGGGUAACGGCCUACCAAGGUGAUGAUACGUAGCCGAACUGAGAGGUUGAUCGGCCACAUUGGGACUGAGACACGGCCCAAACUCCUACGGGAGGCAGCAGUAGGGAAUCUUCCACAAUGGACGAAAGUCUGAUGGAGCAACGCCGCGUGAAUGAAGAAGGCCUUCGGGUCGUAAAAUUCUGUUGUCAGAGAAGAACGUGCGUGAGAGUAACUGUUCACGUAUUGACGGUAUCUGACCAGAAAGCCACGGCUAACUACGUGCCAGCAGCCGCGGUAAUACGUAGGUGGCGAGCGUUGUCCGGAUUUAUUGGGCGUAAAGGGAACGCAGGCGGUCUUUUAAGUCUGAUGUGAAAGCCUUCGGCUUAACCGAAGUAGUGCAUUGGAAACUGGAAGACUUGGGUGCAGAAGAGGAGAGUGGAACUCCAUGUGUAGCGGUGAAAUGCGUAGAUAUAUGGAAGAACACCAGUGGCGAAAGCGGCUCUCUGGUCUGUAACUGACGCUGAGGUUCGAAAGCGUGGGUAGCAAACAGGAUUAGAUACCCUGGUAGUCCACGCCGUAAACGAUGAGUGCUAAAUGUUGGAGGGUUUCCGCCCUUCAGUGAUGCAGCUAACGCAUUAAGCACUCCGCCUGGGGAGUACGGUAGAAGGACUGCAACUCAAAUGAAUUGACGG